GGGAGGGAAUGGGGAUUUUGCAGUAUCCUUCCGCUGCCAUGCCCACCCCACCAAGCCACACCCCAAACUGAAGAGGCUGUAUAUGGCGGGUAAAAACAAAGAGAACUGGAGAGUACCAAGGUUCCAAGUACCAAGCAGAAGAUAAGAUAAGGCAGGGAGAACAGGGAAGAGACAUAUUUAAAAAAAAAAAAAAGCAGAAAUGAGAAUUCUUGGAAUUCUGAACACAGGUCUUCAAUUUGUUCAUGGGAAUCAAUCAGCAGUGUGUGCAAGACAGACGGCGCUAGAGACAAUCAGACAAUUUAUAUUUCUUGGGGGCCAAAAAUACUAGCAGCAGCAAUGGCCAAUGCUAGGAUGGCUUUAAAGAAGACUUAGAGGAAGAGGAAAUGCAUGUGACAAGUAACACCUAGCAAUUAAAACAAUAUGGAAUCUCACUGUUGAGACAAAGUCUGCUUUUUGGUGUCAUUUGCAGGAAUUCCAAGGGAAGAAGAUGGUCACUGCUGGAAUCAGGAUGCUGGCCUACACCUUUUCAGACUGCUGGGUACUUAUAUUUACACCUCAACUGGAAUGAGUGGUUUGGACACAUUCCUUUGAGAGGCGUUCCAGGGGCCAUAUUCAUAGAAGUGGGCAAGGCCAGGACAAAGAAGCACAAUAUCUCUCAGUCUUAGAAAGAUGCUGUAAUAUUCUUGGAAAACAAAAACAGUGGAUGUCUGUUCCCCAGUGUUUUCUGUGGAAAUGAGUCCACAUACACAGACAAAAAUGCAGGAAGAAAUGUUGAGGUGUUAAGAAAAAGGCAUCUGAUGACUACUCACAUCCACCGUGGCAGCCUUAUCUAUCUUUUAUCAUCUCUCAUCUAUCUAUUAUCUAUCUAUAUCCAAUUUGUAUGCCACUCAGCCCCCAACAAUUUACGUCUACUGGACCCAAGAAAAAAUGUUGCCACAGCCAGAGUUAAUUCAUCUUUCUGAUACAAUUCUUGGCAUAUCAUCAAACCACAGCACUCCUUUGAGGAAACUGUCACGUACCACGAAAUAAUACUUCUUUGUCAAAUAAAAAUGUUACAAACAGUCGGGGUGAACUUUC